UACGAAGGGGGCUAGCGUUGCUCGGAAUCACUGGGCGUAAAGCGCACGUAGGCGGCUUUCUAAGUCAGGGGUGAAAUCCUGGAGCUCAACUCCAGAACUGCCUUUGAUACUGGAGCUUGAGUCCGGGAGAGGUGAGUGGAACUCGAGUGUAGAGGUGAAUUCGUAGAUAUUCGGAAGAACACCAGUGGCGAAGGCGGCUCACUGGCCCGGUACUGACGCUGAUGUGCGAAAGCGUGGGGAGCAAACAGGG
rnacentral:rRNA from 1 species